rnacentral:rRNA from 2 species
UUAAGCGACUAAGCGUACACGGUGGAUGCCCUGGCAGUCAGAGGCGAUGAAGGACGUGCUAAUCUGCGAUAAGCGUCGGUGAGGUGAUAUGAACCGUUAUAACCGGCGAUUUCCGAAUGGGGAAACCCAGUGUGUUUCGACACACUAUCAUUAACUGAAUCCAUAGGUUAAUGAGGCGAACCGGGGGAACUGAAACAUCUAAGUACCCCGAGGAAAAGAAAUCAACCGAGAUUCCCCCAGUAGCGGCGAGCGAACGGGGAGGAGCCCAGAGCCUGAAUCAGUGUGUGUGUUAGUGGAAGCGUCUGGAAAGGCGUGCGAUACAGGGUGACAGCCCCGUACACAAAAAUGCACAUAUUGUGAGCUCGAUGAGUAGGGCGGGACACGUGGUAUCCUGUCUGAAUAUGGGGGGACCAUCCUCCAAGGCUAAAUACUCCUGACUGACCGAUAGUGAACCAGUACCGUGAGGGAAAGGCGAAAAGAACCCCGGCGAGGGGAGUGAAAAAGAACCUGAAACCGUGUACGUACAAGCAGUGGGAGCCUCUUAAUGGGGUGACUGCGUACCUUUUGUAUAAUGGGUCAGCGACUUAUAUUCUGUAGCAAGGUUAACCGAAUAGGGGAGCCGAAGGGAAACCGAGUCUUAACUGGGCGUUAAGUUGCAGGGUAUAGACCCGAAACCCGGUGAUCUAGCCAUGGGCAGGUUGAAGGUUGGGUAACACUAACUGGAGGACCGAACCGACUAAUGUUGAAAAAUUAGCGGAUGACUUGUGGCUGGGGGGGAAAGGCCAAUCAAACCGGGAGAUAGCUGGUUCUCCCCGAAAGCUAUUUAGGUAGCGCCUCGUGAAUUCAUCUCCGGGGGUAGAGCACUGUUUCGGCAAGGGGGUCAUCCCGACUUACCAACCCGAUGCAAACUGCGAAUACCGGAGAAUGUUAUCACGGGAGACACACGGCGGGUGCUAACGUCCGUCGUGAAGAGGGAAACAACCCAGACCGCCAGCUAAGGUCCCAAAGUCAUGGUUAAGUGGGAAACGAUGUGGGAAGGCCCAGACAGCCAGGAUGUUGGCUUAGAAGCAGCCAUCAUUUAAAGAAAGCGUAAUAGCUCACUGGUCGAGUCGGCCUGCGCGGAAGAUGUAACGGGGCUAAACCAUGCACCGAAGCUGCGGCAGCGACACUAUGUGUUGUUGGGUAGGGGAGCGUUCUGUAAGCCUGUGAAGGUGGCCUGUGAGGGUUGCUGGAGGUAUCAGAAGUGCGAAUGCUGACAUAAGUAACGAUAAAGCGGGUGAAAAGCCCGCUCGCCGGAAGACCAAGGGUUCCUGUCCAACGUUAAUCGGGGCAGGGUGAGUCGACCCCUAAGGCGAGGCCGAAAGGCGUAGUCGAUGGGAAACAGGUUAAUAUUCCUGUACUUGGUGUUACUGCGAAGGGGGGACGGAGAAGGCUAUGUUGGCCGGGCGACGGUUGUCCCGGUUUAAGCGUGUAGGCUGGUUUUCCAGGCAAAUCCGGAAAACCAAGGCUGAGGCGUGAUGACGAGGCACUACGGUGCUGAAGCGACAAAUGCCCUGCUUCCAGGAAAAGCCUCUAAGCAUCAGGUAACAUCAAAUCGUACCCAAAACCGACACAGGUGGUCAGGUAGAGAAUACCAAGGCGCUUGAGAGAACUCGGGUGAAGGAACUAGGCAAAAUGGUGCCGUAACUUCGGGAGAAGGCACGCUGAUAUGUAGGUGAAGCGACUUGCUCGUGGAGCUGAAAUCAGUCGAAGAUACCAGCUGGCUGCAACUGUUUAUUAAAAACACAGCACUGUGCAAACACGAAAGUGGACGUAUACGGUGUGACGCCUGCCCGGUGCCGGAAGGUUAAUUGAUGGGGUUAGCGGUAACGCGAAGCUCUUGAUCGAAGCCCCGGUAAACGGCGGCCGUAACUAUAACGGUCCUAAGGUAGCGAAAUUCCUUGUCGGGUAAGUUCCGACCUGCACGAAUGGCGUAAUGAUGGCCAGGCUGUCUCCACCCGAGACUCAGUGAAAUUGAACUCGCUGUGAAGAUGCAGUGUACCCGCGGCAAGACGGAAAGACCCCGUGAACCUUUACUAUAGCUUGACACUGAACAUUGAGCCUUGAUGUGUAGGAUAGGUGGGAGGCUUUGAAGUGUGGACGCCAGUCUGCAUGGAGCCGACCUUGAAAUACCACCCUUUAAUGUUUGAUGUUCUAACGUUGGCCCGUAAUCCGGGUUGCGGACAGUGUCUGGUGGGUAGUUUGACUGGGGCGGUCUCCUCCUAAAGAGUAACGGAGGAGCACGAAGGUUGGCUAAUCCUGGUCGGACAUCAGGAGGUUAGUGCAAUGGCAUAAGCCAGCUUGACUGCGAGCGUGACGGCGCGAGCAGGUGCGAAAGCAGGUCAUAGUGAUCCGGUGGUUCUGAAUGGAAGGGCCAUCGCUCAACGGAUAAAAGGUACUCCGGGGAUAACAGGCUGAUACCGCCCAAGAGUUCAUAUCGACGGCGGUGUUUGGCACCUCGAUGUCGGCUCAUCACAUCCUGGGGCUGAAGUAGGUCCCAAGGGUAUGGCUGUUCGCCAUUUAAAGUGGUACGCGAGCUGGGUUUAGAACGUCGUGAGACAGUUCGGUCCCUAUCUGCCGUGGGCGCUGGAGAACUGAGGGGGGCUGCUCCUAGUACGAGAGGACCGGAGUGGACGCAUCACUGGUGUUCGGGUUGUCAUGCCAAUGGCACUGCCCGGUAGCUAAAUGCGGAAGAGAUAAGUGCUGAAAGCAUCUAAGCACGAAACUUGCCCCGAGAUGAGUUCUCCCUGACUCCUUGAGAGUCCUGAAGGAACGUUGAAGACGACGACGUUGAUAGGCCGGGUGUGUAAGCGCAGCGAUGCGUUGAGCUAACCGGUACUAAUGAACCGUGAGGCUUAACCUU